AAUACAUUGUUGGAGUUUACUAGAUCUAUCAACUAGGAAAAAAAAAAUUAGCCACUCAUUAUGGGCUUUUAAACACAAAUGAAUUCUUAGAUAGCAGAAAAAAGAAUAAAGAUGAAGAAAAAAUUGUAGAAGUUGCUGUGUGUGGCACCAAGAUGAAGAGAUAUGAGGAUUCUACUUUGACAACCACCCUCUUUGUAGAAAAGGAGCUAAAGUUUUCUUUUUUUGUUGAUUAAGAUCCUUUUCCUUGAUUUUUGGCUUAUCCCAAGCCUUCUAGAAUAUCUUCUCCUUGAUUUUCAAUCCUUGAU
rnacentral:lncRNA from 1 species